UUUGUCAUUGUCAACAAAUAUCCCAUGAAAAGACCAAAACCAAAAAGGAAUUGCUCCUACAAACAAGUACUGCCUGUGAAGCCAAAGCCUGAUAUUAA